rnacentral:tRNA from 1 species
CAGAAAAUAGUUUAUAGAAAAUAAUAGUUUUGGAGACUAUAGAAGUUGAGGCUUUCCUGA